rnacentral:rRNA from 1 species
GCGGGAGUGCCCGAAAGGGAAUCGGAACACAGGUGCUGCAUGGCUGUCGUCAGCUCGUGUCGUGAGAUGUUGGGUUAAGUCCCGCAACGAGCGCAACCCUUAUCAUUAGUUGCUACGCAAGGGCACUCUAAUGAGACUGCCGGUGACAAACCGGAGGAAGGUGGGGAUGACGUCAAGUCCUCAUGGCCCUUAUGGGUAGGGCUUCACACGUCAUACAAUGGUCGGUACAGCGAGAUGCGAAGCGGCGACGCGGAGCAAAUCUCAGAAAACCGGGCCAAGUUCAGAUUGGAGGCUGCAACUCGCCUCCAUGAAGCUGGAAUCGCUAGUAAACGCGGAUCAGCAUGCCGCGUUGAAUACGUCCUCGGGCCUUGUACACACCGCCCGUCACACCAUGGAAGCCAGCAACACCCGAAGCCGGUGAGCUAACUGCAAAGAAGCAGCUGUCGAAGGUGGGGUUGGUGACUGGGGUGAAGUCGUAACAAGGUAGCCGUAGGAGAACC